AACCCUUCAUGCAGCUAUGAUUCUAUAAGGAAACAAAUGAUGAAGUGCAACUCUGGAGAGAUGAGGGGGCAGGAUAAUUGACGAAGAGGCAACUCGAAUGAACUUUGAUCGCUUUUAUUAUAAUUGUUACAUAGCAAAAAGUGACAAUUAUUUUUCAUGGCACGAGAGGUACCGGAUUCGGCCAAGUAGGUUCCGGAACAAAACAGUCCAGAACGGAAAGGUGCCGGAUCCUGUUCUGGCAUGAUCCGGCUCAAAUUAAGCACUGACUUGAAGUACCUAGGCCUCUACCUGCUGAGUAUAAAUAUUAUUAAACUAGAUUCAGUGGGCUUGUCAUCCACAGUACUGAUGAAAAAUCAAGUAUAUUUGAUCUAAAUGUGGAUAUACGAGGACAUCUAGUGGUCACCGGAUUUUUAAAAAAAAUCAUGCAAGCUAUCUUUGUACGAGCAUGCGAUGCCAUAUAUUUGACGCAGGUAUUUAUUAUUCAACAAGGAUAGUCAUUGACCCGGACAAAAUAUAAUUGUAUGAGCUAUGCCUCCUUGUACCGGCGUUGUUGCACCCCUCUACUAUCUGGCUUGGUGGGGCGAUCUCGUUCUGUAUUCCUGCUUCACUUAUAUUCAAUGUGUCGUCAUGCAUUUGUGCAUGCACGCUGUUAACUGUCAUAUCCGUCUUGCUAAUUUAGCUAGCUCAUUAACCAGUAUUUUAUUCGCCUUUUCUGCACGAUAGCAUUUAUUAAAGCCUUGCAAAUCAUGGGGACCUCACUGUUAUCACGGGUCAUCGAGCUGGCCCUUAUUUGGCAGCAGGGUUGCAUCGGUUUCCACUGGAUUUGACAGCUUGUUAGGCUGGCUAGCUAGGUAGCUAAUUCGCUAAUGCGAACUAUUUAUCAUGUAGCAGCCUAUGCUGACUAGCGUCGCUAGCAACUAGCUAACAUAGAUAAAGUUUAGUCGUGGGUCCACAAAAUCAAACAAAUGGUACUGAACUGAUGACAAAAUCAUGUUUCGAAAAUGUAGUAGCUAUUUAUGUUGUUGUUUAAUGACAUUGGGAAUAUAAUACUUUUUGUCAUUUAACUACCGGUAUGUAUUUAAUCCGGUUUCGGCAUGAGAAAAGUAUUAAUCGCAAAUUCCAGCACUAACGGAUACCGGGAAAUAGAAAUAAGAGAACCGGUCACGAAUGCGGAGCCACGCCCUAAAAUAACAUGUGACCACAAGGCGUUUGUGACACAUUCUUUGCGUUCAAAUUUUGUCAUAAUUGUCUGUAGGUUCUAAAUUGCUUAUGAGCUUGGCUGCCCUUCAGAAAGUAGCUGAUUCUUGUACUCUACAGCUGUAUUUUCCUGCAGUUACUAAUAAUACUAGCAACAAAACAGAUUUCAUUCCUUAAAAUGAUAUUGCCAGAUGGAAGAAAAUAAUAAGAGCCUUGUCCCAGUCUCUAGACCUGCCUGUCUGUGUGGUGGAGGACCACCUGACCUCUGAAGCUGUCAAUGAGAUGGAGCAGAGCAAUUCUACCAGGAGCAGAGCAACCUCAGUGAUGGAAACCACAGAAGAGGGGAAGCUCAACAAUGUAGAACAUCUGACACUUAUGGACUUCCUUCAAAACCUAACUGAGAAGUAUGUUCUGUUUUCUUUGGUACUAUCACACCUUCAAGGAAAUAGGAUCAAAUUAGAAACUGAUCAAUCGGAAAAAAAUAGUUCAUUGCUAGAAAAGUUGUCACAUUGCAAUUUUGCCAAAACAACUGACACAAAGCAAGUAUAACUUCACGAUCAGGCAAAUAAUUAAAUAAAAACAAUUCUGCCACGCAUCCUGAUAUGACAACAUUUAUAACAAUAUUGUUUUCAGGCAAUGGAGGGGGAUUCAUGAGGGCAUGUUUGACCCGGUAAGAUCAUGUUACUGAAAAUGUAAAUAGAUUACCAUGAAAAAAAAACAGGUAAAUAUCAAGUACUUCAUUUCUAAGAAUGCUCCACAAUCAGUCAGUCGGACUUCGGAUGACUUUGAAGGUAAUGAGAAAUGUAUCUCUGCCUAAUGUUUAACCUUGUUCAUAAGCUUUUGGAAGACACACUAUGCAACAUUUUAAAACACUUAUUCUGUUUUUGGAAUACAGCUGACAAAACAACAGCUUUCCGGCUUGUGUCUGAGGAUUGUCCAGUUUUUAUCAGACAAGCUGAUGCAGAUCAUCAUCCCAGGUCUUUACGAACUACUGGGCAUCCAAGAUGCUGCCUCCUCUCCAUUGUCACAGAGAUCUCUCACAGCGUCACUCACCAGUCUGUUAGACGAUAAGGUUAACACCAAGUCCCGCGUGAGAUUUACUGAGGCUGGUGUACCUAAGAGGCCAGGCAGUCAAAAGUCUUACAAUAGCUUUCGCAUGCCGACUCCCUACCCUUCCUCCAACUGUGUGGAGCAGGAAGAGGAAGAAGAGCAGGAAUCACAACAACUUAAGUUCAAGGAGAUUUACCUGACUAAGGGCAGUGGAAGCUACCUGCCCAAUGGGGCCAUGAGGUAAGUCCCAUGAUGGUAGUGACUGUCCAUUACUGUUUAUGACUUAUCAACCAUCAUUUACUUUCUCAUAUAAAAUAUUUAUUUGAUGACUUUAUUAUUUCAUUCCAAGUCAUCAACUCAUCUCUAUAGAGCUGCUGCUUAUCCUGUCUGACAAAAUCACUAUUUUAGUAGUUCUUCUAAGUAAAUAAGACGUACUUUUAUGACCGCUGAACACCAACUGUCAAUCACUUAGAUCAUGUAUUUCCAGGUAGAGAAUCCUCGCAACGCAACUGCUUUUUAUCUCUCUCAUGCAUUCUCUCGUCUCUCCGUCUCAGUCAAUGAGGUUUCCGUAUCUGCUCCACACAGAGUGGACAAGCAAGUGGGCGUGCAAUGGAUUAUGGGAAUUAAUUGCCAUAUUUUCUGUGCCAAACUAUGUCGAAUAUUGACCUGUUGGAAACUACAACUACCUACUACAUUGCAUAGUUCGUGCUUGAUCUGAUUUAUCUCUACAGAAACUGAGCAUCGAGCUCACAGAAGAAGAAAAAAAAUAACUAUAUGGAAUUCAAAUAAUUGAGCCGACGUCGGUUAAUUAGUUGUUUAAAAAACCAAAAAUAACAAAAAUGUUGGUUAAAUGCUCAGCUCUAGAUUCUAAUGACAUCAUCAGUGUGCAUCAUGUGAUUUUAACCAAUUAUGAGUAGGCAUUGCCUACUAAUUGGUUGAUGAUGUCAUAGAAAACACUUAUCUUCUCUUUCUUUUUUACUACAAAACAUAGAAAUGCCCGUUUUUCACAUAUGCCGAUGUUGGGGUGGUGCUGGAGAUGAUGAAUAUGAAGUUGAAACAUUUAGAAAUUUCCCUUUAACAUUUCUUCAAACUGCCUUGUAUUUAUGAUUGUCCUUGAAGUUAUUAGAAGUUACAGUAUUUGAAGUUUAUAGCAAUUUGGAUUUUUGUAGAGGAUAGAUAUUGCCAGGAUAGAUGGAUAUCUACAGGCCAGUUUUAAUACAAAUGACUUAUACAAAAUACAUUUUAUUGGGCUUUAGAAAUUAAGCAGUUAGGCUGAC